GCUGCCAUGGCAGAGGAUCGGUGAUGCAACGGCUGCCGAGUGCCCUACACCUACCGACAAGCCCCUGACAACUGGGCGCUAAACACAAUCGCAAUUGGCACAGUUUAUAAUUUGUUUACCGAGCUGCCUAGAUUUAUGAUCAGUGGAGGACAAGGCAACCACCCACCUAACCGACGAACUGUUCAGAUCUGCCCAUAGGCAUAUACUUCCUCCGCCUUGGCAACAUUUCAACAACAACGGGGCGGCAAAAGUCGCGUGUUCUGGUGAAAUUUUCUGAACUGAGCAAUUUGGCAUUUAAUAUGUAGUUAGACAACAUAUAGUUUUCCGCAUUUUUUAUUUUUGCCCUAA